UGCGCGUGACAUUUCAUGAGUCACAUUUACUGGCAUUCCAAAGCCACGUGAUUUUUCCCAGAGCAAUGCAUACAGUGUCCAGUAAUGAUGGGAAAAACAAAAAAUUCCCAUUUGAUAGUGUCCUCAUCAUGCCCAUUAUUUAUUUAUUCAUUUAUUUUGAAAGUGCUUUUCAUUUCUAGACGUUUCAUUCCUGAAUCAUGUCCUUCAGAGGGUGUUUCAGGGUGAUAUCACAUAUCACAUGUCAUCACAUGUCAGAAAGCAUGCAGUACUUUUUAAUUGGCACAUUUAAAAGAAUCUUAAAUAUAUGUAUACUCAUGUAAAAUUAAAAGAUAUCAAAUAUUAACAUUGAUGUGAGUGAAUAUUUAUGAUAUCUGUGAUGUUCUGUUUUAUUUGUUGUGUGUAUUGGAUGGUGCUGCACUGCCUAACAUGUGCUGAACAGACGAGUCAAGCAACAGCACAUCUCAAUUCUCACAAAAGACACGUUCAGUUUCCUCGUGUCAUUCCGAGUACAUUCUUUUAAGGAAGCCUGGCAUAUCCGUCUCCACACAAGAAUGCAAGUCCAUUCUUUGCAUUCAUAGAAUUGAGAAACUGAUGUUCUUCCUGGAUUCUUCAAGUGCUUUCAUUGUUGAGCAGAAGUUCAGGAAUCUAAAAUAUGAACAAGCAUGUCAUCUUUGAGCUCCAUAAGAUGGCAGCAAACAAACAUGCCUGUCAACAUCAGUGAGCUUUCAUUAGUCUCAAUUCAAGCAGCACGUCAUUAGGAGAGUAUUUGAAGCAGUUAUAAGCUAAUUUUAUUUAUUUAACAAUGAAUAAAGUUAAUUUAUGCAUUUACAGUGAUUUUUUUGUUGCAGGUCAGUGUUAAAGUCCACACGAAAGUCUUUUCUUCUCUAUCGUGACAUAUAUCCCAGUGAAACGACUUCGCAAACAAGAACAAAUGUAGGGCGGGGCUUGAUUUUGUCUGUGGGGAAUUGAUUGGAUGGUUUUGGUUUGCUAUUGGUGGAUCUCAUGUGAGUGACAUGUUGCCCCGCCCUCAUCAUCAGAGAAGAGAUUCUGAUUCAAGAUUAUGAGGAACAUGAAUUUAAAACAAUAAUGAUGUGCACCGAUAAAUCAUUUAUGAUAAACAAUAAGCAUUAGCCUGAUUUCAUAGUGACUUUAACUCUAGCAUGUGUUGCUAGGAUUCAUGUUUUGUACUAUUGUUCAAAAACCCAUAGAAACUGACACACGAUCCGGUUAGAGAGGUGUUCGAGCAGCAUUCUGAUCGUUCCGAAGCAAUCCUGUGUCUGACUCAAGAGUUGAAGGGGAGAGGCAUUUAAAUGCAAAUUAGUUUAGGAUAAUUUCGGAUAAAACAAUUGAUCGAACAGAUUCAAACAGAGAUCAUUUAGACUCGUUAUGUUCCAAACACCAUGAUGACCAAAUGUUGAAGAAACAUUCAUAUUUGUUGUUUUAAUGUAUUUAAGGGUUAAACUUCAUCUCAAAAGCAGUUGUGAAAGAGUUAACUCUGUCUUUGACAUGACGGAAUCUUUGGUCGAGGUCUGAACUCUCUUUCAUGUUGGAGAUCAUUGUUAUAAUACAUGCAUUUAGAUAAAACUGAUGUGCAUCACAAUCUUAUCACACACACAUACACACACACCCUCAACUGUCUCUGUUACACAAAGACUCAAACACGCCUCAGUCACGUAACAAAACCAACAUACCAGCACACAUAUUUUCUAGGUCGCUCUGAAUGAAUAAAUGUCUUAUAUUUGAUGUGGAAUGCAAAUUCAUUUACAGCGCCUCUAAUGCAAAUCAUCAGAUGCUCUAAUCAAAUGACCUAUGACCCGUCGGUGAAGGUUUAUUAGUGAUGGAUGACUGUGUAAUAUUAAAACAACUGGAGAAGAUCAUUUACCUCUUUCCCUGCCAGCAAUUUUUAAAAGAGUUGUCAGUCAGCACCAGCAGUUUUGAUCAUUUUCAUAAACUUUCAUGGCCCCUAGAAUAUUUUGUUGUAUGAAUAUCUGAACAUGCAAUAUAUCAAACGAAAGAACAGAGCCUCUGCUUUUAAACAAAUUUUAUUCUAGCUUCAUGCAUUCUUUUUUUACCAACACUUGAAUGUGGGUAAGUGUCAUAAAAAAAGCAACAUUUUAUUAAAAAAAUCUGAGAUCUGUCAAAGACUUCAUCCGGAUGGGACGAUCAGAGCACAGAUGGAGUAAAACGAGUCCAUCAACACCUCCAAAGCUUCUCAGUCGUUUCCUCUUCAUGGGUUCAACAUUUCAUUCAGUAACGACAGGCAGUUUUGAUUAGUUUAAUGUUUGAUGGUCAUGUUAAUAAUUGACGUGUGUCAGCAACGCUUCUAUCGCUUGUUUCUGCUUCUUCACCUGUGUUUUGAUCCAGAGAUUCUGUACUCCUUGAGAAGAUGCGUAACAGCGCCCCGUACCAUAUAACAGUGAAAACAUGGAAAGCCAUUGAUUCCAUCAAUGGUGUGAAAAGAGUUAAAAAAAACAAAUGCUACUUUUAAUUAAUACGGAGCCCUGCACAUGACAUGCAAGAAAAAAAAUCGAGGGAACGAAAUAGUAAAUCGUGUGCAUGAUUUAGCCUAAUAUUUUCUUCCUGCAUGUCAUGUCCGGGCUCCGUAAAUUAACAUUCAGUUUGAAGUAGUUUUAUGUAGCUUUGAAACUUGAAGUUUAAAGCCCAUGCGCUUUCAGGCCAAUCAAGAAUCAUGAAUCAUGAAUUUGCACAUUGUUAGCAUGUUUUAACAUGCAGGUAACAUGAUUUAUCAGAUUGCUAGCAUGUUUAUAACAUGAAUAAGCAAAAUGCUAGCAUGUAUGAGCAUCUUGCCAGUCUCUUUCUAGCAUAGAUUAUCAAAUUGCUAGCAUGUUUUAGUGUUUCUCACACGAUUGCUUGCACGUUUUUAUUUUAUAUAGCACAAAAUGUAUCGCUAGCAUGUUUCUAUCAUGAAUUAGCAUGCUGCUAGCCUGUGUCUAGCGUGAAUUAGAACAAUGCUAGCAUGUUGCAUGAUUUACCACGUUGCUAGAAUGAUACUAGCAUGAAUUUGCACAUUGUUAGCAUGUUUUAACAUGCUGCUAACAUGAUUUAGCAGAUUGCUAGUAUGUUUAUAACAUGAAUAAGCAAAAUGCUAGCAUGUAUGAGCAUCUUGCCAGUCUCUUUCUAGCAUAAAUUAUCAAAUUGCUAACAUGUUUUAGUGUUUCUCACACGAUUGCUUGCACGUUUUUAUUUUAUAUAGCACAAAAUGUAUCGCUAGCAUGUUUCUAUCAUGAAUUAGCAUGCUGCUAGCUUGUCUAGCAUGAAUUAGAACAAUGCUAGCAUGUAUGAGCGUUGCCAGUCUCUUUCUAACACAGAUUAUCAAAUUGCUAGCAUGUUUUAGUGUUUCCCAUACGAUUGCUUGCACAUUUUUUAUUUUAUAUAGCACAAAAUGCUACAAUGCUUGUGAGGAUCUACCAGACUCAAUAGACGAGAAUAGGUGUAACUCAGUUACAGGUAAUUUAGUGAACAGUAUGUGCAGGAACAGGCUAAACAGGCAAGUGAACUGGAAGUAGAAGAGUUCCAUAUAACAUGCAGAUAAGUGACUAAGUAUGUCUUAUCUCUCUAGGGCCCAAAGAGCACGAACACACACACACACACACACACACACACACACACACACACACACACACGAACACACACACACACAGAACUGCAGAUACACACACACUGUAAACCCUGAUAAGUUCAGACUACUCAACAUUUUUGUAGACACCGAUUAUCUAAAAAAAAAAAUGUUCACCGUAGUCAACCGGAUCCGGGCCGUAUCCAGGUGAGACCAAGGACCUGCGCCUUGACACGACCACAACGCAGCCCUGAAGUAUCAGCAGAGAUUGAGUCAACUAGAUCAUCCCCUGUGAAGGCCUCAUCGACACGACAGCCACGACACAGUUCCUCAACAACCGUGAUGAAUAUGAUCCUCAAUUGGAUGGAACUGGAAUAAAUAUUUUGAAUGUUGCGAUCCUGUCGGACUUAUGAUAGCAACCUGAAUCGUAACAAAGCACUGUUGGCCAGAGGAGAACUGGCACCCCGACUAAGCCUGGUUUCUCCCAAGGUUUUUUUCUCCAUUUAAACACCUAUUUGCCACUUGUCUGCCACCUGAUGUCACCUGAUGGAGUUUGGGUUCCUUGCCGCUGUCGCCUCUGGCUUGCUUAGUUGGGGACACUUGACAUUUGACUUGACAUUUGAUAUUCAACAGUGCUUUGAUCUGCCUGCAUUGACACUAUUCUUUAAGAGCUGCUGUGCAGCCUAACAAUGUACCAGUUAUCAAUGUAAAGCUGCUUUGACACAAUCUACAUUGUAAAAAGCGCUAUAUAAAUAAAGGUGACUUGACUUGACUUGACUAGUCGGGGACACUUAAUAUUCAACAAUAUUACUGAUCUGCCUGCAUUCACUCUAUUGUAUGUGAACUGAACUGAGCUGGACGAUGACAUCACUGUUUUCUCCAGAGCUGCUGUAUAGAUAAAUGAACUAAAUUAAUGAUUUUCACAAUGGAAUGAAUCAACACUGAACUUACUUAAGCUGGACAAUGACACUAUUUUCUUCUAGAGCUGCUGUACAGCCAAAAUUAUGUUCCUGUUAUCACUGUAAAGCUGCUUUGACACAAUCUGCAUUGUUAAAAGCGCUUUAUAAAUAAAGGGUGACUUGACUUGACAAUGAUACUAAAAUAACACUGAUUCACGUCACACUGCGUACAACAAUUGUUAUUACUAUAGGAACAUAAUUCAAAUGUUCCAUGAGUGAAACGCGGUUGAUCUGUUAUGAAACAUCUGGGUCAGCAUGAUCUCUGACAUCAGUUCUUUAUGUCCCUCCGUUACCAUGGCAGCAGUUUAUGUUUAUGGGGUGUGAGUCUUGAUGGGUGUGGGACUGUCACAGAAUCAGCUGAGCACAUUAUUUAAGAUAUCAAAACCUGGCUCUAAAAUAAUGUCUAUGAAUUUAAAAAAAGAUCAAAGCUGUAUUUUAGUAGAGUUUAAUAGAGUUCGGGUAGGUUCGAGCACGGCUGAGCGUAAAGACUAAUGAUACGUAUGGAAAGUCCCCGAAAACACCAAACGGUUAAGACCAGGGCUAGUUCGAGUUAUGGUUAAAUAUGGAAAUACUCGGGUGUGUAGGUGCUUUUUCUCUUCCUGUUGGCAUUCUGCCGAAUCCUCUCAAGGGAAAAAGGCCUAAAUUUAAGAUUGAUGUAUUUGAAUUGCAUAUAAAAUUUCCAUACAUUUGAAUCACACAGUUUUAACAUAAACAAACUAAUAAACUUCAUGUGAUGAA